UUUUGAAAUCCAAGUUUUUAAAUUAAAGUAUUCGGUAUACAGAAUAAUAGCACCUCGAAAAAAGAAUUUGUGUAAUCAAACAGAUCUCCACUGGACUUUAAUUUGUAUUAAAAUUUAAGUAUUGGAAGAAACAUCAUCAAGAGUAGUAAGCAAAUAAAAGCGAGUAAAAUAUGUUUCCCAAAUGCCGCAUUUGCAAGACAAGCUCAGGAGUCUUAGGGAACAUAUUUCCUAAAAGGAGGGAAACCUUUUCCAACCUUCUCGAACCGAAAGUAAAAUGUAGGAAUAAAAUGCCAAAGCCCUUGCGCAAAAUUUCUUUAUCGGAUGAUCCCGCAUCAAUUAUAUUCAAGCGAAACAACAAGCUGACUCUUAUGCAAUCAAAUAAUAACUCUGAUAUUGGAAAUGAAAGCGAGAACCAGGAGAGCAUGAACGAAGAACCUCAAAGCGAUGAGCCGCAAUUUGAUGAGCCUCAAAACGAAGAGCCUGAAAACGAAGAGAACCAAAACGAAGAGAACCAAAACGAAGAUAAACCAGAGGAGGAGACAUCUGAUGAAAGCGAAAGUGUUAAUAAGAAAGAAUAUCUACGAAGUCAUAUACCAUUUCACGAAAGAUCAAAUUUUUACGACGAACCGAGAAGAAGGAACGAAAAUACUUCGAAGAUAUUUAAGCUACCAUUUUGCAAUAUAUUAUGAAAAUUGCUACUUAAAAUCUUCAGAGGUUUAUAUAAUAGAUAAGAAUCAAGCUUGUUAAGCUCCAAAUAAAAAGAAAUGGAUAUGGAAGACUAAUACAGAGAAGGUAUAGAGUCUAUACUAUAGACUUUACUUCUAGAAAGUUCUUUAAAAAGGUUGUAAGUACAGAUAAUGUAUUGUUUAAAUAAAUUCAAUAAGAAGGUGGAAAAUUCGAAAUUACGGAUCAUAAUAAAUUGGUGGUUAUAUAGGCAGAUUCAUAUAGAGGGAAAUGCUUAAAGGCCUCAGUUAAAGCCACAGACAACACAUCACACUUGCUAAUCUCUAUCCCCCCUGACACUGUCCAAAAUGUGUCUAACAACAAUUCAAUCAAAUGGCAGCUACAAGUUCCUAAAACUAAUUAAAAUGCCAUCAACGGAUUGCAUGUGCCAUGUGGAAGCCGCGGGCGAUGCGACUACAUGAGACUAUAAUGCCGAUACAUGGGGAAUCCAGGGGAAGUUGGAGGACAAAGGGUGGUGUCACAGUUGGAGCUGCCAUUUACGCGUAAUUUGGCGCGCCUAAAAGCAUCCCGGGAAAAAAAACAGACAGGAGAUCCUUUGGGUUUUUGCAGUGAGGUCCGCAGUGUUUUGGCAAGGCUUGUCAACGUGUUCACGAGCUCGCAGACCGCCAAAAACCGCGUGAUUUAUGCGCUUUUAAAGCACUUAACGGUGAACAAGUCUAUGAAGUCCUAAGCCAGAGGUCAGCUGGAGGAGAUGAGGAAAAUGGAGAAAGCUUACAAUAAAUUUUCGCGAAUAAAUCUUUCAACUACAUAAAUCU